rnacentral:rRNA from 1 species
AUGAAAUGUGUCAAGUCAACUAGAACAGUUUUGAAUGAACUUAGAGAAAAUGGAUGGGACUCUUUGGUAGGUGAAGUUCAUGUGUUUUGUGAGAAACAUGAUAUUAUAGAAUUUGACAUGGAAGAAGCAUAUGUGAAUCCAAAAAAGAGAAGGCAGAUAACUGGAAUUACCAACAAACAUCACUAUCAAGUUGAUUGCUUCAAUGAUGUUUUUGAUUGGCUAGUUCAAGAGCUUGACAAUAGGUUCAGUGAGACAUCCUCUAACUUGCUUGUUUGGUCAGCAACUUUGAGUCCAAGAGACACAUUUCGUGAUUUCAAUUUGGAGAAUCUUAUGAGUUUGGCUAACUUAUACCCUCAGGAUUUUGAUUCCGGGGAUUUGAGGGAUCUUGAUAAGGAUCUACGGCUCUAUAUUGCUGAUGUGGGCACGGAUGAUAGCUUUUCCCACAUAGCAACAAUCACCGAGCUUUAA